AAAUGAAUGAUUCGUUUACAAUCUGACGUCGUCGUGAGGAACUCGAGUUUUUUUAAAAACAGGACGUUUUCAUGAAAUAAAAAGGAGUCAUGUGUCAUUUUGGAGCUUCCCGAGGGAUCCUGGUGUGUGCUGUAAAUGAAUGUGACUUCUGAUUAGUCAACAUACAGUAUCUCUCUCUCUCCCUCUCUCUCUUUCUCUCUUUUUGAGGCGAUGGUUCAGAGCUAGCAGGAGGCCUGGCCCUUGUUACUUGUGCGUCCGGGGAGAGACAGCAGUUUACAGAGCUGUGUGUGAGGAGGGGAGAUGAAUGAACGGCACGGUGAAGUUUAAUUUCUUGUCUAAGAGACACAACUGAGAUCCUGAAGAGUUCUCACUUUCUGAGUUCUAGGGAAUAGGCUACUAUUAUGGCCUUUUCCCCACCCAUUGUUGUUUAUAAGAUAUAACCAAGCCAAUAUUUUGUACUUUUUCCAUUAGAAAAUUAAAGAAGAUUUGAUGUCUAUC
rnacentral:lncRNA from 1 species